UUAGAGUUUGAUCUUUGCUCAGAUCGAACGCUGGCGGCAUGCUUAACACAUGCAAGUCGAACGCCCCUUUCAGGGGGAUUGCUCUAUUGGUGACUAGCGCCUGAGAGCUGACCUCUUUGUUCGAACUAGCUCAUGGACGCGUGAUCUAAUACCGGAUACACGCUUUUGGGCACAUAUUUCUCACAGAGAAAUCGGCCCGAUUCUGAUUAGCUAGUUGGUGAGGUAAUGGCUCACCAAAGCGACUAUCAGUAGCUGGUCUGAGAGGCAUGAUCACCCACUCUGGGAGUGAGCCACGGCCCAGACUCCUGCCGGAGGCAGCAGCCGGGAAUAUUGGCCAAUGGGGGCAACCAUGAUCCCCGCCAUGGCCGCGUGAGUGAUGAAGCCCUAGGGGGUAGUACAUCUCCUUUUAUCCGGGAAGAUAAUGACUGUACCGGAAGAAUAAGCCCCGGCUAACUUCGUGCCAGCAGCCGCGGUAAUACGAAGGGGGCUAGCGUUGUUCGGAAUCACUGGGCGUAAAGGGCGCGUAGGCGGUUGAUUAAGUCAGGGGUGAAAUCCCGGGGCUCAACCUCGGAAUUGCCCUUGAUACUGCUAGUCUUGAGAUUGUCAGAGGUAAGUGGAAUUGCGAGUGUAGCGGUGAAAUUCGUAGAUAUUCGCAAGAACACCGGUGGCGAAGGCGACCCCCUGGUCCAUAUCUGACGCUCAGGCGCGAAAGCGUGGGGAGCAAACAGGAUUAGAUACCCUGGUAGUCCACGCCGUAAACGAUGGAUGCCAGCUGUUGGGGAGCAUGCUGUCCAGUGGCGCAGUCAACACAUUAGAGCAUCCCGCGUGGGGAGUGCGGUCGCAAGAGUAAAACUCAAAGGAAUAGACGGGGGCCCGCACACGCGGUGGAGCAUGUGGUGUAAUUUGAAGCAACGCGCAGAACCCUACCAGCUCCCGACAUCCCUUGCUACAUGGAGAGAUUCAUGGUUCCGUUCGCGGACGCGGAGACACGCGCUGCAUGCCUGUCGUCAGUUAGUGUCGUGAGAGGGAGGGUUAAGUCCCGCAACGAGCGCAACCCUCCUCCGUCGUUGCCAUCAUUAAGUGGGCCACUUUAGGGAUACUCCCGGUGCUAACCCGGAGGAAGGUGGGGAGGACGUCAAGUCUUCAUGGCCCUUACGGGAUGGGCUCCCCACUCGCUCCAAUGGCGGUGCCAGAGGGCAGCGAAAGGGCGACCGUCAGCUAAUUCCUAAAACCCGUCUCAGUUCAGAUUGCACUCUGCAACUCGAGUGCAUGAAGUCGGAAUCGCUAGUAAUCGCAGAUCAGCAUGUUGCGGUGAAUACGUUCCCGGGCCUUGCACACACCGCCCGUCA
rnacentral:rRNA from 1 species